rnacentral:rRNA from 1 species
AUGGCGCUUGAGAGCACGGCCAAGGUGGUGCUGGGAUGCGUGGCCUUCUCCAUCUUCUGGGUGCUGGCCGUCUUCCCGUCCGUGCCCUUCAUGCCGGUGGGCCGGACGGCGGGGUCUCUGCUGGGCGCCAUGCUCAUGGUGCUCUUCCGCGUCAUGACGCCCGAGCAGGCCUACGCCGCCAUCGACCUCCCCAUCCUCGGCCUCCUCUUCGGCACCAUGGUCGUCAGCAUCUUCCUGGAGCGCGCCGACAUGUUCCAGUACCUCGGCAGCAUGCUCUCCUGGAAGAGCCGCGGCAGCAAGGACCUCCUCUUCCGCGUCUGCCUCGUCUCCGCCGUCGCCAGCGCGCUCUUCACCAACGACACCACCUGCGUCGUGCUCACCGAGUUCAUCCUCAAGGUGGCCCGGCAGAACAACCUGCCCCCGCAGCCCUUCCUCCUCGCCCUCGCCUCCAGCUCCAACAUCGGCUCCUCCGCCACGCCCAUCGGCAACCCGCAGAACCUCGUCAUCGCCGUCACCAGCGGCAUCUCCUUCGGCUCCUUCCUCUUCGGCAUCUUCCCGGCCAUGAUCGUCGGAGUCAUAACCAACACCUGCAUCCUCCUCUGUUACUUCUGGAAGCACCUCUCCGUCGACAAGGAGCGGGACCAAGAGUCGGCCGGGGGGCAGGACGUCGUUGUGGCCGACGACGAGGUCACCUCGCACCGGUUCACGCCCGCGCGGAUGUCGCGCGCCAACUCCGUAAACGGCGACGCCGACUACAUGAACGAGCCCAUCCGCAGGAGCGACAGCAUGAGCAGGAGCAAGAGCUACAACUCCGAGGGCGACCGCGACAUCCAGGUCGCCAUCAGGUCGGUGCGCGCGUCCAGCAUGUCGCAGGAGAUGGUGGAGGUGUCCACGGUGUGCGACCGGCGCGACGAUGGCCCCCGGAAGGUGACCAGGACGACCAGCCGCCAGCGCAGCGUCAUCAUCGAGGACGCGCCCGAGCAUAUCUUCGACGGCGACGAGAAGGAGAAGCCGCUCGAGGAGGAGGUGGUGAAGCAGAAGAAGUGGAAGGUACUCGCGUGGAAGACCGCCGUGUACCUCACGACGCUCGGGAUGCUCGUCUCGCUCCUCAUGGGGCUCAACAUGUCCUGGACCGCCAUCACCGCCGCCCUCGUCCUCCUGGCGCUCGAUUUCACCGACGCACAAGCUUGCCUAGAGAAGGUAUCGUACUCGCUGUUGAUCUUCUUCUGCGGGAUGUUCAUAACGGUGGAUGGCUUCAACAGAACUGGCAUACCCAACGCGCUGUGGGAGCUGGUGGAGCCGCACGCGAGGAUCGACAGCGCCAAAGGAAUCGCGCUUCUUGCCGUUGUGAUUCUUGUUCUUUCAAAUGUUGCCUCAAAUGUUCCAACCGUGCUGCUUCUCGGCACAAGAGUGGCAGCAUCCGCUGGUGCCAUCUCACCGGCUUCAGAGAAGAAAGCCUGGCUCAUACUAGCUUGGGUCAGUACGGUGGCGGGCAACCUCACCCUGCUGGGCUCAGCUGCGAACCUCAUCGUCUGUGAGCAGGCGCGGCGGGCGCAGUUCCAUGGCUACAACCUCACCUUCUGGAGCCACCUUCGUUUCGGCGUGCCGUCGACGAUCAUCGUCACCGCUAUUGGCCUCAUUAUCGUCGUUAGCUACUGA